UAUCAGAUUAAUAAUAAAAGUGAAAGACUUAACAAUAUUUACAUUUUUGUGAAAUAUUAAGGCCACAGCUUGUAAUUUCUUAAAUCAAUUGGAGUAAUUUUGCCUUGAAAAUAACAAAAUUUGCUUCUUUAGUAGAAAUAUCUUGUUUUGUGUUGAUUUUAUCAUUCGAUUAACAUUUUAAGGAUGAAUAAGUUAAAGCUCCUUCUACCAAAGAUUGGCUAUCAAUGAGUAAAGAAUAUGAAGAGUGGUGGAAUUUUCCUAUUUGUAUUUGUACAAUAGAGGGAAAACAUAUGCGAAUACAAGCGCCAAUUAAUUUUAUAUCAGAAUAUUUUAAUUAUAAGGGGUUUCAUUCCAUUGUGUUAUUGGACAUUUGUGAUGCUAAGUAUAGGUAUUGAUAUAGAAUAAACGUAAUACAUAUAUAUAUA
rnacentral:lncRNA from 1 species